rnacentral:lncRNA from 1 species
CGUUUCGUCGGCUCAAUCUCAUAUAUUCGCCGGUAAUCCCACAGCCAUGUCGCUCAUCCCAAGCUGGUUCGGCGGCCGCCGCAGCAACGUCUUCGACCCUUUCUCCCUCGACCUCUGGGAACCCUUCAAGGACUUCCCUUUCCCUUCCUCCUCCCUUUCCGCCUCUGAUUUCCCCCAGGCGUUCCGGGAGAACACUGCUUUCGUGAACACGAGGAUCGACUGGAAGGAGACCCCGGAAGCCCACGUGUUCAAGGCGGAUCUCCCCGGGCUCAAGAAGGAGGAGGUCAAGGUGGAGAUCGAGGACGAUCGGGUGCGCCAGAUAAGCGGCGAGAGGAACGUGGAGAAGGAGGACAAGAACGACACGUGGCACCGGGUGGAGAGGAGCAGCGGGAAAUUCAUGAGGAAGUUCAGGUUGCCCGAGAACGCGAGGAUGGAUCAGGUGAAGGCGUCGAUGGAGAACGGGGUGCUCACCGUGACUGUUCCCAAGGUGGAGGAGAAGAAGCCGGAGGUCAAGGCCAUCGAGAUCUCUGGUUGAGAGAUGGUGAAUCUGCGGCUGGCGCGACAACUUGUGUAUACACGUACACAGAGUGAGUGUCUGCGUGUGCUGUCUGCUGUGUGGCUUUCGCAUGUCCUGAGUUGGCCUGAGUUGGGAGUCUCGGUCCUCGUCUUUGAUAUGGCGGUGUAAUAGGUUGGAAAUAUGGCGAUGUGACAUAACUAUAGUAACCUGUUUUAUGUGAUAUCGGUUCCUCAAAAUCUUUCGGUUUUCUCGCCUUUCGCUUCCCCAUUCAGCACCGAAUUACGGCCUUGUCCCAAGGGACUUAAUUUAGUUCUUUUUUGGGAUGGUUAAUUCAUUCUCUUGGAAGAAUUCCUGUGAAGUGCAAGUGUUGUACUCGCAGGUUGUGAUCAUUUGUUUUUUUUUUUUUUUUCAAUUGGGUUUGGGGGUACCUGCAAAUUGCAUCGAGAGAAGCUGACAACUUUCGGGAUGAAACGAGGCUUAGAACCAUGAUUCUCCUUUUGAGCUCAGCGCGAGCUGCAGGGUUUCUUAUGCUGCAUUGUAUUGGGUUUGUCAGAUAACAUGACUAGAUAUCCCAACAAGUUUUUUAUUUCCGCUUGAUCGUCAUCAAAUCAGAGAUAACAAGAUCAGAUAUCCUUUCCUGAUGCUUAGCUCGAUUUCGUCUUUGAAAGCUCCGGGUUUCAUCCUCAUCUCUUCCCCAUCAACCAUGAGUCUCCUCACCGCUUGCUCCAUCUCUCUCUGGUUUAGAUCACCCUCCAACUCCAAUCCCACCAUUCAAACGUGGCACGGGUACCCUGCCUUCACAUUCUGGUCCCUACGGUUGGUGUAUCGUUGGGACUCCUUAGGAAAUAAUUUCCAAGGAACUAGUUCCAUCUGCAAAAGGUCCAAAAGCCUCCCGAGUUACGUGUGCUAAAACUUGCACCUCAUGAGCCCAUCUCGUAACACGGCCAAUUUUUGUUGGCUUUUUUGGACCCUUGCGCUAACAGCUCGAUCCACUCUGAGCCUCUGACUGAGCGAGGUCGGACCAGCCGGAAGAAUGCCACUCUUUGCCAGCCCCCAAGCCGUUUCUGCAAACUCUCCCUGAUCUAUUUUGAAGCCAAGCUUUCCUAAGCUCACAAGUAUAACUGAAUUAUGUGCUUGCUUAUCAAGCCACAAGAGGCAACUGGUUUCUUCCCUCUAUUAUACUGGUUGGCAAAGCCGGAGCAACUUUGUGCAGCGAGCCUGGUGAAAAAAAUGGCGCUCGUUAUUGUCUAUGGAGUUGGUCCGGUAACUGUUUCUCCAGGCAGUCCACUGUUCCAGAAAAUGCCUGAAGAUGCUCUGUUGUUAAUCAGGAUGGCUGCUAACUUCAUCAUGGGUUCUAAAUCGCCUGGUGAUACAAGUCCAUGCAUCUCGUGGGAUAAGCGCCUGGAAUAGUCUCAAUCGAUGUUGGACCUAAAGAGUCAAGGUGCUGCAGCUUAGCAUGUAUUGGUUCUACGACUUCAUAGUCUGAUAGAAAACAUAAAAACUUAUCCAAGAUUUGAAUAUUCCAGCAAGUCAAAAGAGAGAUACAACUUUUAUUCGAAUUUGAUACACUGUAGACUGCUUUCUUCCUUCCUAGUUGGAUUGCUCGACAUGAAUACGAGAGAAUAUGAUAUUAUAUGCAGUUUCAGCACGUGUGGUACUGUUGACUUCAAUUACAUGCCUCCUCUGUCCUCUGACUAAAGGAAGAGGUAAUGACUGGUUUAGACGGUGGGGCAACGGCUAUUGGAGCGUUUUACCUUCUGGAAACUGAGUCGCCCUAAAGACUUGGUAUGCUUACCUUUUCUUUGCAGCAAGAGCAUUUUACGAAAACACAGAGAGCCCCGUUAAAGUACUGCUUAAUGAGUAGUAGACGAUGAAAAUUGCAAGCCAAACUCAAAAUAUGUCUACAUGGACGAAUGAUGCAAGCUGUUGAGCGCAAUUCCUAUUUGAGUCACGCUGAUUAAUUGACUCUCUCUUUAGAUUGGCCAAGCAGUUUCUUUAAAUCUUGAAGAGACCCUCGCAGUGCUUUGGGAUAGCAAACAUAAUCAAGUCAGGAGCCUUUCCAGUUUAGUAGAGUACGACCAAAGAGAGCGCAUUCUUAACAUCCAAUCAGUACUGUGUGAUUGUUACUCUUGAUUUCUAGUGAAAUUCCUAUCGAGCUCCAUCACUGAGGUAAAGAAGGGUUUACUGCAAGUAUCAUUAUCUUAGAGUUUGUUGUGUAUGUUGAUAUCCGAGGGUUAAAGAUACCUUUUCAAGGAAAAUAACUUUUCUUUUGGAGCCAAGGGGGUUCAGAGAAAACCAGCAGAGUGCCCUACUACAAGAGCGCAAAGCAAUGCUAGGAAGUUCUAUAUGAUGAGCUGCCACCUAGCAAAGUACAUCAAUUCAAUCUUUUCCAGUUAAUUUUGGUCAAAUUUUGUUGACUAAAUAUCGAUCGGUUGACGUGAUACGAUCGACGCUGACGUGGAUAAUUUUUAAUAAUAUUUUAAUUUUUUUGGAUUUGAAUUUUACUUAAUUUUUCUUUUUCUUUUUUUUCAUUUUUUUUUCUUCUUCUCCUUCCUCUAGUCAAUCGUCAGACCUUUGGCAAUUGGCCAUCGGCAAGGCUUGAGCCCUCGCCAGAGGCUGUGAGGGCGAUCGACAAUCAGCCAGAGAAGACAGCUGGCGAGGUUGAGGAGGAAGGAGGGGCACAAAGAAAAAAGAAGAAAAAAGAAAAGGAAAAAAGAAAAAGAAAAAGAAAAAGAAAAAAAAGAAAAAAGAAAAGAAAAGAAAAAGGAAAAAAAUAUUAAAAUAUUAAAAUAUUAAAAUAUUAAAAUAUUAAAAUAUUAAAAUAUUAAAAUAUUAAAAUAUUAUUAAAAGUUGUUAACGUCAGCGUCAAUCGUGUCAUAUCCAAUGCUUAGUCAGCAAAAUCCGGCUAAAAUUAAUUGGAAAUUAUCGAAUUAACACAAAAUAAAAAUAUUUAAGACUAAAUUGGUAUUUAUAAAAUAUUUAGAAUUAAAUUAGCAUAAAUAUAAAAUGUUUAGGAUUUCUUGGACACUUUUCCCCCAAUAAACUUGAUUUAUAUUCAUGAUUUAGGAUUCAUUGAAUGUAAUUAGACAAAAUCUUAUUUAAUCAAGAAUAGAGGAAAUUAAGGGCGAUUACAAAAUAGAAAUAGAAAUCGUCAUUGUCGUAAUGUGACGGACCAGGUGUUUCCAGAUGGACCUACGGGAUUCGCCAUUUCACUUGAACGUUCGUCCGUCCGUCCGUUCGAGCGGGACUGGAAAGACCGCGAAGGUACUAGAAUGAUCCUCUCUUUCCUAUUUAACUCCACGACUUGUCUUCUAAGCUCCAUCGUCGAACGGUAGCAAUUCUCAUCAUCUUCCUUAAGCAUUCCAUCGAACACUUUCUCCGCUCGGUCUCGCAUUUUCACCGGUAAACCCAACAACCAUGUCGCUCAUCCCAAGCUGGUUCGGCGGCCGCCGCAGCAACGUCUUCGACCCUUUCUCCCUCGACCUCUGGGACCCCUUCAAGGACUUCCCUUUCCCUUCCUCCUCCCUCUCCGCCUCUAAUUUCCCUCAAACUGUCCGGGAAAAUACUGCUUUUGUGAACACGAGGAUCGACUGGAGGGAGACCCCGGAGGCCCACGUGUUCAAGGCGGAUCUCCCCGGGCUCAAGAAGGAGGAAGUCAAGGUGGAGAUCGAGGACGAUCGGGUGCUCCAGAUAAGCGGCGAGAGGAACGUGGAGAAGGAGGACAAGAACGACACGUGGCACCGGGUGGAGAGGAGCAGCGGGAAAUUCAUGAGGAGGUUCAGGCUGCCGGAGAACGCGAGGAUGGAUCAGGUGAAGGCCUCGAUGGAGAAUGGGGUGCUCACCAUCACUGUUCCCAAGGUGGAGGAGAAGAAGCCUGAGGUCAAGGCCAUCGAGAUCUCCGGUUGAGAGUCGGUGAAUCUAUGGUCCUCGUUACGACUUGUGUCUAUAUAUAGAGCAAGUAUGCUGUGCUAUGUGAGGGUUGGGAGGCUCGGUCCCAUGGUGUCUGAUAUAGCGAUAUGUUGUCCGCCGAUGACUCUUUAGUUGUAAUGAAAUUCGAAGUUACUAUUUUCUAACUUCUGUUUGAGGUGAUAUUGGUUGCUCAAAAGUCUUUUGAUUGUGUUUUGUUCGUGGGACGUUCCUUAUUUUUAUUUACAUACUGCUUCCGGGAGUUCAAUUAGUUUAAUUAUUUUUGGAUGAUUAAUUCAAUUUCUGGGAAGGAUACCUCCAAAGUGCAGGAUGGACUUUGCACAUCGUGAUCGUUUUUUCAGUUGGGUUUGGAGGUACCGGCAAUAUGGAGAAGCUGAUAAGUUUGGGAUGAAAACAAGCUAGAAACCACAUUACUCCUUUGGACUCAGAGCAAGGUUUGGGGUUCCUUCUGCUGCAUUGUAUCAAAUUUGUCAGGUAACAGGAUAAAAUAUUUGAUAUGGCCUUCAAUUUCUGUUCCAUCAUCAUCAGAUCAGAGAAAAAUGAUCAGAUUCACUGGUUCCUAUAUUGAGGCGUGCGAAGUAUCGCCUUUUCCGAUGCUCAUGUUGAUUUGGUCUUUGAAAGCCGCGGCUCUCAGCCUUAUCUCUGUCCCUUCCUUGCCAACCGUCAGCCUCCUCACAGCUUGCUCCAUCUCUUUCUGGUCUAGACCACACUCUAACUCCAAUCCCACCAUCCGAACGUGGCGCGAGUACCUCACCUUAGCAUUCUGGUCCCUGAAGCACGGUGGGCAUAUCAUUGGGACUCCUUUGGAAAUGAUUUCCAAGGUCGAAUUCCAUCUGCAAUGGGUCCAAAAGCUUCCUGUGGCACGGUGUGCUAAAACUUCCUCUAGAGCCCAUCUCGCAACACGGCCAGUUUCUUCGUUGGCUUCUUCGAACCCUUCUGGUAAUAGCUCGAUCCACUCUAAGCCUCUGUCUGAGCCAGGCCGGAUUAGCCACAAGAACGCUGCUGUUUGCCAACCCCCAAGCCAAUUCUGCAAACUUUCCCUAAUUCAUUGAAGCCAAGCUUCCUAAGCUCACAUAAAUAACUUAGGUAAAUUUGUAUGUAGAUUAAAAAAAAGUCUAUUUAUGAUUUUAAGCAAGCUUGUAGAUAAUGGUAUUUAAAGUUUCAUAGUGUUGUCAAAUAUAAAGUAUAUACUGUAUACAUUUUUUCGUACUUUAUGUAGAUGAUAUCUUACUUGCGAGUAAUGACAUUAGAUUAAUGGGACAAAAGUGGAUGUUAUCAAAAAAAUUUAACAUGAAAGAUCUUGGUGAUGCGUUUUUUGUUCUUGGCAUUGAGGUCCAUAUGGAUUGUUAUUGGGUUUGUUUUAGAGGGCAUAUGUUGAUCGUAUUUUAGAAAGAUUCAAUAUGCAUCAUUGCAAUCCGGGGUGAUAAGUUGAGUCUUUCACGAUAUCCUCGUUUAGAUUUUGAGAAAGUUCAAAUGAAUGAUGUACCUUAUGCUAGUAUGCUUGGAAGUAUCAUGUAUACUCAAGUUUACAUUAGACCAGAUUUAUUUUUGCGACAUGACUUCUAGGUAGAUAUUAGUCAAAUCUAGAAUGUGAUCACUGGGUUGUUGUCAAGAAGAUUUUAAGGUAUUUAAAGAGGACAAUAGAUUAUAUGCUGAUUUAUAGACAUGUUCCGAACUUACAACUAAUAGGGUAUUUGGAUGUAGAUUUUGCUGGUUGUUAAGAUGAUAUGAAAUCGACGGUGAAAUAUAUAUUUAUAUUGGCAGGAGGUGCAGAAAUCUAUAUAUUCUUCUACCAUGCAAAUAGAGUUUGUAGCAUGCUUUUCAGCUGCUAUUUAGGCGAUUUGGCUCUAGAAUCUUAUUAGGGAGUUAACUGUUUUUUAUUUUGUGGGUAGAGCUAUAUAGUUAUAAUAAUAAUAGAAGUCUCCAAAAGUCUAAGCAUAUGGAGGUCAAGUUUAUGACCAUAAAUGAAUCAGUACAGAAUAGUGGUGUUACAGUAGAUCAUAUUCCUACAGAUGAUAUGAUUGUAGAUCCAUUAACUAAAGACCUAUGCCCUUAUGUGUUUGAGUGAUAUGUCGUUAGCAUGGGUUUAGGAGUAUUUUGGGAUGUUGUUAUUUAGUGAAAGUUGUUUUUAUUUUUCUUUUAAUAAAGUUUAUAUUUGUGUUUUUUAUAUUUAGUAGCGUUUUGAUAUAUAUUAACAUUUGCAUUCAAUAAAAUAUUUUUAAAUAAAUUGUUAUUAUGUUGAAUAUAUAUUGAUAAAAGUCUUAAAUGUAUUAUAUAAACCUUAAGUGAAUGUUAAGGGCAUCGGGUUAUUAACCUUGAGUAUAUGUUUUAUCACACAUAAAGAAAUAUUAACUGUAAAGGCAAGGCAUAUGUGGGUUUACUAGAACCAUAAAAAUAUUUUCUAAUGGCAUAGAUUUUUGUGAUACUUAAAAUGAGAGAAUGGUGAUUGACAAAUGGGAUCUCUCUAUGAGAGAUGUUAUUCAUUUAUCACACUACCAUAUUAAAUCCAUAUCAAUAAAGUUAAAAGCACUCAUAAGCACUCGUGACCAUGAAAGGUUUUGUGUGUAUACAUGCAGCUCCUACCAUGAUUUGGUGUUUGAGACUUUAUAUGAUGUAAUUGACUAUUAAGAAUUAUCUCUUAAAUUAAUGCGCGCACAUACAAUACAAUUUCAAUUAAUAUAACUCAAGUGGAAGAGUAUAAAAGUUUUUCUAAUGUGGGUUACAUUAAUUAAUAUUGUAAUUUACCAUUUUUUGGGAUUGGUCUAAAGUGAGAUAGAAAGAUUUUUAAUUAAUUUAUAUGGGGCUAGUUAGUGUGGGUUAAGUUGAACUUGACUCGUAAUAAGAUGGCCUAGUUGGAACACUAUAGAUAGUCGUCAAGUCUCUCCUCUAACUCUAAUUUUCAUAAUUAUCCUCACAAAUGAGCAUUUACCUAACGCAAAAGGGUGAGGGGGUUGUCUCAUUGAGCCAAUGAUAUAGAGGGCAAAGAGGAGAAUGACUUGUGCUUGAAUCAUCGCUUUUUUGCUUUCGCAUCAAGAACGAUGAAUUCCAAAACAAGUGUAUUAAUUUUUUUACUUGAUUAUAUGUGUUUUUGUUCUAGUUAUGGAGAUAAUGAGUUACGUGUUUUAGCAUCUAACAUCCCUCUCUGAAGUCUAGAUCUAAAUUUGGGUUGCCCGUCUAAUGCUCCAUCGAGGGUUGCUAGGGGCGGUUGAGGAUCUAGAAGAGCACAUCUAGGUCAUUGGGGUCUAGGUUGGCAUGGGUCUAGGUUGCUAGUCUAAUGCUCCACUGAAUGUUGCGCAAGGUUUGUUGAUGAUGGCUAAGGUUGUCUGAUGGUUUGGGUUUGCUUGUUUGGGUCGAUGAUUGUGUGUUUAGGUCGCCUAUUUGUAUGCUCUAACGAGGGUCAUCAAGGGAGGCCGAGGGUCUCCAAGGAUUUGGGUUGACGAUCGCGUAGUUUAGGUUGUCGAGGUCAUGCGACCCUCAGGGUCUCCUAGCUUAGGCUACCCGAGGUUGCUUCACCUCGGUGUCACCUUGCAUGACCACUUCGACGAUUCAAUUGUUGCUGACAUUCAAUUUGCUUCCCAAGUUUGCUCCCAAGAUGAGAUAUCUCUACUCUCCAGUAGUUAUAUAGUUUAUUUUUUUUCGUUCUUUUUUCUACCUUCGAAGUUACAUUGCAAAAAUAUCAUGAAAGUCAUUUAACCAAACAAUAUUUACUUUGAGUCAAAGAUUCAUGGGGCAAUGACUUUGCAUUCUCUCAAAACUCUCCCAAACACGCAUUUUGAGUUACAGUGAUUGGUUUCAAGUUGGGUAGAUUUUAGACCUCAAAUCUGAAAUCUAAUCUAUUAGAACCGAUUCCAAGUUUUUGGAACCUAAAACCUAUUUUGUAUGUCUUGGAACCUGUCAUUCUUUUGUUCUUUUUUUUUUAGGUUCACUUUUUAUAGCAAAAAAAUAUAAGUAAUAAAAUGGUUCAAAGUAAAAGAUGACUAAGGGUGAAGGAGCAAAGGUGAGUUAGGAACGAGCGAGUGUGAGCCGUGAGUGAGCGAGGAGGAGGGUGAGUCGCCAGCAAGCGAGAGAGAAUUGCGAAAUGUUUGAGUAAGGUUGAAGAGAACAGAGAAAAAAGAGAUAGAAAAAUAUGUUAAGAGAAAAAUUGGGGUUUCUAAACUUUAUGAAACUUGUACCAAAUUUGAUUCAAUGACAUAUGGUUCUUCUUAACUGACCAAAAAAAGAAAAAAAGAAAAAAAAAAGACAUAUGGUUCUUCAGUUGAAAUUGCAAACAAGAUUGGUUCGAACGACUGAUGAUCCGGUUCUCGAAUAGAACUGGCCCGACAACAGAGCUCUACUAACAAACCCUAGUUUCAUAAAAAUCCUAGUAUCGUAAUGUCAUUUGCCCAGUAUUUACCUAGUAUGAGAUGAUUAUAUUUUUUUAGCAAGAGGAAUUCCUUUAAUCGCAUCUUUUGAUUAGUGGCAAAUAAACUUGAUUUAUAUUCAUGAUUUAGGAUCCAUCGAAUUUAAUUGGACAAAAUCUUAUUUAAUCAAGAAUAGAGGAAAUUAAGGGCGGUCGCAAAAUAGAAAUAGAAUUCGUCAUCAUCGUAAUGUGACGGACCAAGUGUUUCCAGAUAGACCUCCGGGGUUCGCCAUUUCGCUCGAACGUUCGUCCACCGACACUCAGAAAGACCGCGAAGGUACGAGAAUGAUCCUCUCUUUCCUAUUUAACUCCCAACUUGUCUUCCAGGCUCCAUCGUCAAACGGUAGCAAUUCUCAUCGUCUAUCUCAAGCAUUCUAUCGAACACUUUCUCCGCUCAGUCUCGCAUUUUCACCAGUAAACCCAACAACCAUGUCGCUCAUCCCAAGCUGGUUCGGCGGCCGCCGCAGCAAUGUCUUCGACCCUUUCUCCCUCGACCUCUGGGACCCCUUCAAGGAUUUCCCUUUCCCUUCCUCCUCCCUCUCCGCCUCUAAUUUCCCUCAAACCAUCCGAGAAAAUACUGCUUUUGUGAACACGAGGAUCGACUGGAGGGAGACCCCGGAGGCCCACGUGUUUAAGGCGGAUCUCCCAGGGCUCAAGAAGGAGGAAGUCAAGGUGGAGAUCGAGGACGAUCGGGUGCUCCAGAUAAGCGGCGAGAGGAACGUGGAGAAGGAGGACAAGAACGACACCUGGCACCGGGUGGAGAGGAGCAGCGGGAAGUUCAUGAGGAGGUUCAGGGUGCCGGAGAACGCGAGGAUGGAUCAGGUGAAGGCCUCGAUGGAGAAUGGGGUGCUCACCAUCACUGUUCCCAAGGUGGAGGAGAAGAAGCCUGAGGUCAAGGCCAUCGAGAUCUCCGGUUGAGAGUCGGUGAAUCUAUGGUCCGCGUUGCGACUUGUGUCUAUAUAGAGAGCAAGUAUGCUGUGUUAUGUGUCGGUUGGGAGGCUUGGUCCCAUGGUGUCUGAUAUAGCGAUAUGCUGUCCUACAAUGACUCUUUACUUGUAAUGAAAUUCGAAGUUACUAUUUCCUAACUGCUGUGUGAGGUGAUAUUGGUUCCUCAAAAGUUUUUUGAUUGUGUUUUGUUCGUGGGACGUUCCUUAUUUUUAUUUGCACACUGCUUCUGGGAGUUCAAUUAGUUUCAUUACUUUUGGAUGAUUAUUUCAAUUUCUGGGAAGGAUUUCUCCAAAGUGGAGGGGACGUACUUUGCAUGUUGUGAUCGUUUUUUAAGUUGGGUUUGGAGGUACCUGCAAUAUGGAGAAGCUGAUAAGUUUGGGAUGAAAACAAGCUAGAAACCACAUUGCUCCCUUUGGACUCAGUGCAAGGUUUGGGGUUCCUUCUGCUGCAUUGUAUCAAAUUUGUCAGGUAACAGGAUAAAAUAUUUGAUGUGGCCUUCAAUUUCUGUUCCAUCAUCAUCAGAUCAGAGAGAAAUGAUCAGAUUCACUGGUUCCUAUAUUGAGGCGUGCGAAGUAUCGCCUUUUCCGAUGCUCAUGUUGAUUUGGUCUUUUAAAAGCCGCGGCUCUCAGCCUCAUCUCUGUCCCUUCCUCGCCAACCGUCAGCCUUCUCACAGCUUGCUCCAUCUCUUUCUGGUCUAGACCACACUCUAACUCCAAUCCCACCAUCCGAACGUGGCGCGAGUACCUCACCUUAGCAUUCUGGUCCCUGAAGCACGAUGGGCUUAUCAUUGGGACUCCUUCGGAAAUUAUUUCCAAGGUCGAAUUCCAUCUGCAAUAAGUCCAAAAGCUUCCUGUGGCACGUUGUGCUAAAACUUCCUCUUGCAGAGCCCAUCGUGCAACACGGCCAGUUUCCUCGUUGGCUUCUUCGAACCCUUCUGGUAAUAGCUCGAUCCACUCUGAGCCUCUGUCUGAGCUAGGCCGGAUCAGCCACAAGAACGCUGCUGUUCGCCAACCCCCAAGCCAAUUCUACAAGCUUUCCCUGAUUCAUUGAAGCCAAGCUUCCUACGCUCACAUAAAUAACUCAGGUAAAUUUGUAUGUAGAUUAAAAAAAGUCUAUUUAUGACUUUAAGCAAGUUUCUAGAUAAUGGUAUUUAAAGUUUCAUAAUGUUGUCAAAUAUAAAGUAGAUCAGUGUAUAUACCGUAUAUAUUUUUCUUGUACUUUAUGUAGAUGAUAUGUUACUUACGAGUAAUAAUAUUAGAUUACUGCAUGCAUGAGACAAAGUGGAUGUUAUCAAAAAAUUUUAACGUGAAAGACUUGUCUUUUGUUCUUGGCAUUGAGGUCUAUAUGGAUUGUUCUCGUUGUUAAUUGGGUUUGUCUUAGAGGACAUAUGUUGAUCGUAUUUUAGAAAGAUUCAAUAUGCAGCAUUGCAAUCCAGGGUGAUAAAUUGAGUCUUUUAAAAUAUCCUAAUUCAGAUUUUGAAAAAGCUCAAAUGAAUGAUGUAUCUUAUGCUAGUGUGCUUGGAAAUAUUAUGUAUGUUCAAGUUUGCAUUAAACCAUAUAUUACUUUUGCGAUAGGAUUUCUAGGCAGAUAUUAGUCAAAUCUAGGAUGUGAUCAUUAGUGUUGGAGAAAUCUUUCCAGAAUAUUUUGAAACUGACAAAACAUUUCUAUCAGUCUAAGUCUGGAUAUCGAUAGUUAAAGUCUCAAGACUUUAUAGUCUCAAGACUUUGUAAUCUCAAGACUCAAGACUCAAGACUCAAGACUCAAAAACAUUCUCACUAACAGUCUUUCUAAUCCAGUGUUGAAGGAAAUCCAAAGCCGAGGUUUAUGGUUGAGGAUUUGAUCCUAUCCUCUGGAAUAGAUUCUUUGGUUGGAUAAUCAUUUCGGAUUCUUUAAUUCUUAUCUAAGAUCGAUUGAAGAUCCGAUGGUCGACGAAAUAAUCUUGGAUUAUUCUAUUCUUGGAAACCGAGAUCCUGAUUGUAUGGGCGAACAGGAUUGAUGGGCUAUCAUCAGAUUCCUUAAAUAGCUCGGAUGAUCUUCUUGAUUGAUUCCGUCCAACGGGUAGAUUGGAGGAAUUCCUUUGGUAAGUGCCAACGGCUAUGAUGGCAUGAAGGAGUAUAAAAGGAAGACGUUCUAGUUGUCUUAAGUGUGUGAUCGAUAGAAAAAUUCCAGAGUCUUAAGAUCCUUGAUUGUUAGUUGAGACUGAGCGAAAUUGUAUACAGAGAGUGUUUAUACUUGGUGACGCCUUGAGUGAGUGUGGUAGAUCAUCUACACCUAGAAAUCAAGGAAGAUCAACACUGUAACAACUCUUUGAUCAUAGUGGAAUCCAGCCAAUCGGCUGUCAGUGCAGAAGAGUGGACGUAGGCUUGAAUCAAGCCGAACCACUAUAAACCGAGUGUUCAAUUCUCUCUUUCCCUUACUCAGUCUUGCGAUUGAAUUUUUAACUGUUGCAAAUUCUCUAAUUGUUUAAAUAUCGUGCAAGCUUCGAGAAAGUUUUUGUAUACCUAUUCACCCCCCCUCUAGGUACUCGUACUAGCUAUUUCAAUUAGGUCGUUGCCAAGAAAAUUUUAAGGUACUUAAAUAGGACAAUAAAUUAUAUGCUGAUUUAUAGACAUGUUCCGGAUUUACAGCUAAUAGGGUAUUCGGAUGCAGAUUAUGAUGAUUGUCAAGAUGAUAUGAAAUCGACGACAAAAUACAUAUUUAUGUUGGCAGGAGAUGUAGAAAUCUAUAUAUUCUUCUAUCAUGCAAGCAGAGUUUAUAGCAUGUUUUUCAGCUGUUACUCAAGCUAUUUAGCUCCAGAACCUUAUUAGGGAGUUAACUGUUUUUUAUUUUGUAGAUAGGCCUAUAUAGUUAUAUUGUAACAAUAACUCUGCAUUGUUGUUUAUUAAUAAUAAUAGAAGUCUUAAGAAGUCUAAACACAUGAAGGUCAAGUUUAUGACGAUAAAUGAAUCAGUACAGAAUGAUGACGUUGCAGUAGAUCAUAUUCCUACAGAUGAUAUGAUUGUAAAUCCAUUAACUAAAGGCCUAUGCUCUUGUGUGUUUGAGCGGUAUGUCAUUAGCAUGGGUUUAGGAGCAUUUUUGGAUGCUGUUAUUUAGUGAGAGCUGUUUUUAUUUUUCUUUUAAUAAAGUUUAUAUUUGUGUUUGUUACAUUUAGUAGUGUUUUGAUAUAUACCAACGUUUACAUUCAAUAAAAUAUUUUUAAAUGAAUUGAUAUUAUGUUUAAUAUAUAUUGAUAAAAGUUUCAAUGUAUUGUAUAAACUUUAAGUGAAUGUUAAGGGCAUCCGUUAUUAGCCUUGAGCAUAUGUUUUAUUACACAUAAAGAAAUAUUAAUUGUAAAGAUAAGGCAUAUGUGGGUUCACUAAAAUCAUAAAAAUAUUUUUUAAUGGCAUAGGUUUUUGUGACACUUAAGGUAAGAGAAUGAUGAUUGACAAAUAGGAUCUCUUUAUUAGAGAUGUUAUCCAUUUACCACACUACCAUAUUAAAUCUAUAUCAAUAAAGUUGAAAGUACUCGUGACCAUGAAAGGUUUUUUGUGUAUACAUGCAGUUCCUAUUAUGAUUUGGUGUUUGAGACUUUAUAGGAUGUGAUUGAUUAUUAAGAAUUAUCUCUAAACUAAUGUGCGCACAUACAGUACAAUUUCAAUUAAUAUAACUCAAGUGGAAGAAGAUAAAAGUUUUCAUAAUGUGGGUUACAUUAAUUAAUAUUAUAAUUUACCGUUUUAUGAGAUUGGUCUAAAGUGAGAUAUAAAGUUUAUUAAUUAAUCUAAUAUGGGGUUGGUUAGUGUGGGUCAAGUUGAACUUGACCUGUAAUGAGAUGGUUUAGUUGGAACAUUAUAAAUAGUGCUCAAGUCUCUUCUCUAACCAUAAUUUUUAUAAUUAUCCUCAUAAAUGAGCAUUUACCUAACACAAAAGAGUGAGGGGGCCGUCUUUUUGAGUCAAUGAUAUAAAGGGCAAUAGAGGAUAAUGACUUGUAUUUGAAUCAUCGCUUUUUUGCUUUCGCAUCAAGAGUGAUGAAUUCCAAAACAAGUGCGUUAAUAUUUCUACUUGAUUAUAUGUGUUCUUGUUCUAGUUAUGGAGAUCAUAGGUUACGCAUUUUAACGUCUAACAUCCCUCUCUGAAGUCUAGAUCUAAAUUUGGGUCGCCCGUCAAAUGCUCCGUCGAGGGUUGUUAGGGGCGGUCGAGGAUCUAGAAGAGCAUGUCUGAGGUCUAGGUUGGCAUGGGUCUAGGUUGCUAGUCUAAUGCUCCACUGAAUGUUGCGCAAGGUUUGUUGACGAUGGCUAAGGCUGUACGAUGGUUUGGGUUUGUUUGUUUGGGUUGAUGAUUGUGUGUUUAGAUCACCUAUCUGAUGCUCUAUCGAGGGUCGUCAAGGGUGGCCAAGGAUCUCCAAGGAUCUGGGUUGACGAUCGAGUAGUCUGGGUCGUCAAGGUCAUGCGACCCUCAGGGUCUUCUAGCUUAGGCUACCCGAGGUUGCUUCACCCUAUGUAGCAUGGAUACUCUCCAGAAGCCUUUGUGUCGUGUCCGACAUUCCGACACGUGUCCGACACGUUCCGACACGCUCCGACACACAGUUAACGAGUGUCGAAAAAUCCGACACGUGGCCAACUCUCUCCGACACGCGAAUCCAGAAUUUCGACACGCACGGGGUCAAUUUUAAAAAUUUCUAAUACUUGAGGGGUCAAAAUAUAAAUAUAUAUAAAAGAAGUAAUAAAAGAAGUAAUAAAAUUGCUAUAAAUAUACACACACGGGGUCAAUAUUUUUUUUUUCAGUUUUGUUUUUUUUAGAAUUGUUUUAUUUUUUUAAAAGUCUUUUACUAUGAAGAAGUAAUAAAAAAUGCUAUAUAUGAUAAAUAAAUAAAUUUAAAAAUAUCAUUUCAGCAUUUUUCUUUAAACAAUGUUUUUUUUCUCUAUGUUUUGUGUAUUAUUGUAACAAAUUAAAAUAAUGAAUGAUAUUAUUUAAUAUUUUUCGUGUAAAUUAAUUCUAAGCUAUUAUUAUUAUUAUUAUUUAUGUAUUAUAUAUAAAAAUAUAUUUAAUAUAUAACGUGUCGGAACGUGUCGAAAUUCUCUAUUUUUAAGAAAUAUCGUGUCGGCGUGUCAUGUCAUGUCGUAUCGUAUGUCGCAUGUCCGUGUUGGUGCUACAUAGGCUUCACCUCGGUGUUACCUUGCAUGACCUCUUUGACAAGUCAAUUGCCGCUGGCAUUCAAUUUGCCUUCCAAGUUUGCUCCCAAGAUGAGAUAUCUCUACUCUUCAGUAGUUAUAUACUUUAUUUUUUUUUUCCUUCUUUUUUCUACCUUCAAAGUUACAUUGCAAAAAUAUCAUGAAAGUCACUUAACCAAACAAUAUUUACUUUGAGUCAAAGAUUUAUGGGGCAAUGACUUUGCAUUCUCUCAAAACUCUCCCAAACACGCAUUCUAAGUUAAAAGUGAUUGGUUUUAAGGUGGGUAGAUUUUAGACCUAGAAUCUGAAAUCUAAUCUAUUAGAACCGAUUUCCAGUUUUUGGAACCUAAAACCUAUCUCGUAUGUCUUGGAACCUGUCAUUCUUUUGUUCCUUUUUUUAGGUUCACUUUUUAUAGCAAAAUGAUAUAAGUAAUAAAAUGGUUCAAAGUAAAAGAUGACUGAGGGUGAAGGAGCAAAGGUGAGUUAGGAACGAGCGAGGGUGAGCCGUGAGUGAGCGAGGAGGAGGGUGAGUGCCAGCAAGCGAGAGAGAAUUGCGAAAUGUUUGAGUAAGGUUGAAGAGAACAGAAAAAAAGAGAGAGAGAGAAAAAUAUGUUAAGAGAAAAACUGGGGUUUCUAAACUUUAUGAAACUUGUACCAAAUUUGAUCCGAUGACAUAUGGUUCUUCAGUCGAAAUUGCAAACAAGAUUGGUUCCAACGACUAAUGAUCUGGUUCUCGAAUAGAACCGGCCCGACAGCAGAGCCCUACUAACAAACCCGAGUGUCGCAAAAAUCCUAGUGUCGUAACGUCAUCGGCUUAGUAUCUGCCUAGUAUGAGAUGAUUAUAUUUUUUUAGCAAGAGGAACUCCUUGAAUCGCAUCUUUUAAUUAGUGGCAAAUAAACUUCAUUUAUAUUCAUGAUUUAGGAUCCAUCGAUUUUAAUUGGACAAAAUCUUAUUUAAUCAAGAAUAGAGGAAAUUAAGGGCGAUAGCAAAAUAGAAAUAGAAUUCAUCAUCAUCGUAAUGUGACGGACAAGUGUUUCCAGAUGGACCUACGGGAUUCGCCAUUUCUCUCGAACGUUCGUCCACCGACACUCAGAAAGACCGCGAAGGUACGAGAAUGAUUCUCUCUUUCCUAUUUAACUCCCACCUUGUCUUCCAGGCUCCCUCGUCAAACGGUAGCAAUUCUCAUCAUCUAUCUCAAGCAUUCUAUCGAACACUUUCUCCGCUCAGUCUCGCAUUUUCACCGGUAAACCCAACAACCAUGUCACUCAUCCCAAGCUGGUUCGGCGGCCGCCGCAGCAACGUCUUCGACCCUUUCUCCCUCGACCUCUGGGACCCCUUCAAGGACUUCCCUUUCCCUUCCUCCUCCCUUUCCGCCUCUAAUUUCCCUCAAACCAUCCGAGAAAAUACUGCUUUCGUGAACACGAGGAUCGACUGGAAGGAGACCCCGGAAGCCCACGUGUUCAAGGCGGAUCUCCCCGGGCUCAAGAAGGAGGAGGUCAAGGUGCAGAUCGAGGACGAUCGGGUGCUCCAGAUAAGCGGCGAGAGGAACGUGGAGAAGGAGGACAAGAACGACACGUGGCACCGGGUGGAGAGGAGCAGCGGGAAAUUCAUGAGGAGGUUCAGGUUGCCCGAGAACGCGAGGAUGGAUCAGUGAAAGGCGUCGAUGGAGAACGGGGUGCUCACCGUCAGUGUUCCCAAGGUGAGGAGAAGAAGCCUGAGGUCAAGGCCAUCGAGAUCUCCAGUUGAGAGUCGGUGAUCUAUGGUUUUCGUUGCGACUGUGUCUAUAUAUAGAGCAAAUAUGCUAUGUUAUGUGUGGAUUGGGAGGCUCGGUCCCAUGGUCUCUGAUAUGGCGAUAUGUUGUCCGACGAUGACUCUUUAGUUGUAAUAAAAUUCUAAGUUACUAUUUCCUAACUUCUGUUGAGGUGAUAUUGGUUCCUCAAAAGUCUUUUGAUUGUGUUUUGUUCGUGGGACGCUGCUUAUUUUGAUUUCCAUACUGCUUCCGGGAGUUCAAUUAGUUUCAUUAUGUUUGGAUGAUUAAUUCAAUUUCUGGGAAGGAUCCCUCCAAAGUAGAAGGGACGUACUUUGCACGUUGUGAUCGUUUUUUCAGUUGGGUUUGGAGGUACCUGCAAUAUGGAGAAGCUGAUAAGUUUGGGAUGAAAACAAGCUAGAAACCACGUUACUCCUUUUGAGGUCAGUGCAAGGUUUGGGGUUCCUUCUGCUGCAUUGUAGCAAAUUUGUCAGGUAAAAGGAUAAAAUAUUUGAUGUGGCCUUCAAUUUCUGUUCGAUCAUCGUCAGAUUAGAGAGAAAUGAUCAAAUUCACUGGUUCCUAUAUUGUGGCGUGCGAAGGACCGCCUUUUCCGAUGCUCAUGUUGAUUUGGUCUUUGAAAGCUGUGGCUCUCAGCCUCAUCUCUGUCCGUUCCUCGCCAACCGUCAGCCUCCUCACAGCUUGCUCCAUCUCUUUCUGGUCUAGACCACGCUCUUAACUCGAAUCCCACCAUCCAAACGUGGUGCGAGUACCUUACCUUAGCAUUCCGGUCCCUCAAGUGUGGUGGGCAAAUCAU